AGCGUAGACGGAAUGGCAAGUCUGAUGUGAAAGGCCGGGGCUCAACCCCCGGGACUGCAUUGGAAACUGUCAAUCUAGAGUACCGGAGGGGUAAGUGGAAUUCCUAGUGUAGCGGUGAAAUACGUAGAUAUUAGGAGGAACACCAGUGGCGAAGGCGGCUUACUGGACGGUAACUGACGUUGAGGCUCGAAAGCGUGGGAGCAAACA
rnacentral:rRNA from 1 species